rnacentral:tRNA from 1 species
AUUCAAGUAGUUUAAUUAAAAUAUUGAUUUGUGAUAUCAAAGAUAUAAAUUUUUAUCUUGAAUA